rnacentral:rRNA from 1 species
UACGGGGGGAGCAAGCGUUGUUCGGAUUUACUGGGCGUAAAGGGCGCGUAGGCGGUCAGCACAAGUCAGUUGUGAAAUCUCCGGGCUUAACUCGGAAAGGUCAACUGAUACUGUGCGACUAGAGUGCAGAAGGGGCAACUGGAAUUCUCGGUGUAGCGGUGAAAUGACGUAGAUAUCGAGAGGAACACCUGCGGCGAAGGCGGGUUGCUGGGCUGACACUGACGCUGAUGCGCGAAAGCCAGGGGAGCGAACGGG